AUUGAACGCUGGCGGCAGGCCUAACACAUGCAAGUCGAGCGGAUGAAGGGAGCUUGCUCCUGGUUUCAGCGGCGGACGGGUGAGUAAUGCCUAGGAAUCUGCCUGGUAGUGGGGGAUAACGUCCGGAAACGGGCGCUAAUACCGCAUACGUCCUGAGGGAGAAAGUGGGGGAUCUUCGGACCUCACGCUAUCAGAUGAGCCUAGGUCGGAUUAGCUAGUUGGUGGGGUAAAGGCCUACCAAGGCGACGAUCCGUAACUGGUCUGAGAGGAUGAUCAGUCACACUGGAACUGAGACACGGUCCAGACUCCUACGGGAGGCAGCAGUGGGGAAUAUUGGACAAUGGGCGAAAGCCUGAUCCAGCCAUGCCGCGUGUGUGAAGAAGGUCUUCGGAUUGUAAAGCACUUUAAGUUGGGAGGAAGGGCAGUAAGUUAAGACCUUGCUGUUUUGACGUUACCAACAGAAUAAGCACCGGCUAACUUCGUG
rnacentral:rRNA from 1 species